UACAGAGGGUGCAAGCGUUGUUCGGAAUUACUGGGCGUAAAGGGCGCGUAGGCGGCUUAGCAAGUCAGAUGUGAAAUCCCGGGGCUUAACUCCGGAAGUGCAUUUGAAACUGCUAGGCUAGAGUGCAGUAGAGGUUGGUGGAAUACCUAGUGUAGAGGUGAAAUUCGUAGAUAUUAGGUGGAACACCAAUGGCGAAGGCAGCUCGCUGGGACGGUACUGACGCUGAGACGCGAAAGCGUGGGGAGCAAACAGG
rnacentral:rRNA from 1 species